rnacentral:rRNA from 1 species
UGGGGAAUUUUGGACAAUGGGCGCAAGCCUGAUCCAGCCAUGCCGCGUGCAGGAUGAAGGCCUUCGGGUUGUAAACUGCUUUUGUACGGAACGAAAAGUCUCUUUCUAAUAUAGAGGGAUCAUGACGGUACCGUAAGAAUAAGCACCGGCUAACUACGUG